UAGGGAAUAUUGGGCAAUGGAGGGAACUCUGACCCAGCCAUGCCGCGUGCAGGAUGAAGGCGUUAUGCGUUGUAAACUGCUUUUUAUAUAGGAAGAAAUAGUCCUUGCGAGGAAAGUUGACGGUACUAUAUGAAUAAGCACCGGCUAACUCCGUGCCAGCAGCCGCGGUAAUACGGAGGGUGCAAGCGUUGUCCGGAUUUAUUGGGUUUAAAGGGUGCGUAGGCGGUUUAUUAAGUCAGUGGUGAAAGACGGUCGCUCAACGAUUGCAGUGCCAUUGAUACUGGUAGACUUGAGUAUGAUUGAGGUAGCUGGAAUGGAUAGUGUAGCGGUGAAAUGCAUAGAUAUUAUCCAGAACACCAAUUGCGUAGGCAAGUUACUAAGUCAUAACUGACGCUGAGGCACGAAAGUGUGGGUAUCAAACAGGAUUAGAUACCCAAGUAGUCCCUGAGCGGGCUGG
rnacentral:rRNA from 1 species